rnacentral:rRNA from 1 species
CCGAUGGAGGGGGGUAACUACUGGAAACGGUAGCUAAUACCGCAUAACGUCGCAAGACCAAAGAGGGGGACCUUCGGGCCUCUUGCCAUCGGAUGUGCCCAGAUGGGAUUAGCUAGUAGGUGGGGUAAAGGCUCACCUAGGCGACGAUCCCUAGCUGGUCUGAGAGGAUGACCAGCCACACUGGAACUGAGACACGGUCCAG